UACGAAGGGGGCUAGCGUUGCUCGGAAUCACUGGGCGUAAAGGCGCGUAGGCGGCCUGCUAAGUCGGACGUGAAAUCCCUCCGGCUCAACCGAGGAACUGCGUCCGAUACUGGUGGGCUUGAAUCCGGGAGAGGGAUGUGGAAUUCCAGGUGUAGCGGUGAAAUGCGUAGAUAUCUGGAGGAACACCGGUGGCGAAGGCGGCAUCCUGGACCGGUAUUGACGCUGAGGCGGCGAAAAGCUAGGGGAGCAAACGGGG
rnacentral:rRNA from 1 species